GACAGAGGGUGCAAACGUUGUUCGGAAUUACUGGGCGUAAAGCGCGUGUAGGCGGCUAAGUAAGUCGGGCGUGAAAUCCCACGGCUCAACCGUGGAAGUGCACUCGAAACUGCAUAGCUAGAGUCCUGGAGAGGAAGGUGGAAUGCUUGGUGUAGAGGUGAAAUUCGUAGAUAUCAAGCGGAAACACCGGUGGCGAAGGCGGCCUUCUGGGACAGUGACUGACGCUGAGACGCGAAAGCGUGGGGAGCAAACA
rnacentral:rRNA from 1 species